UACGUAGGGUGCAAGCGUUGCUCGGAAUUACUGGGCGUAAAGCGCACGUAGGCGGCUUUCUAAGUCGGGGGUGAAAUCCUGGAGCUCAACUCCAGAACUGCCUUCGAUACUGGAGAGCUCGAGUCCGGGAGAGGUGAGUGGAACUGCGAGUGUAGAGGUGAAAUUCGUAGAUAUUCGCAAGAACACCAGUGGCGAAGGCGGCUCACUGGCCCGGUACUGACGCUGAGGUGCGAAAGCGUGGGGAGCAAACAGG
rnacentral:rRNA from 1 species